rnacentral:rRNA from 1 species
UAACGGCGAGUGAGCGGUAAAAGCUCAAAUUUGAAAUCUGGUACUUUCAGUGCCCGAGUUGUAAUUUGUAGAAUUUGUCUUUGAUUAGGUCCUUGUCUAUGUUCCUUGGAACAGGACGUCAUAGAGGGUGAGAAUCCCGUUUGGCGAGGAUACCUUUUCUCUGUAAGACUUUUUCGAAGAGUCGAGUUGUUUGGGAAUGCAGCUCAAAGUGGGUGGUAAAUUCCAUCUAAAGCUAAAUAUUGGCGAGAGACCGAUAGCGAACAAGUACAGUGAUGGAAAGAUGAAAAGAACUUUGAAAAGAGAGUGAAAAAGUACGUGAAAUUGUUGAAAGGGAAGGGCAUUUGAUCAGACAUGGUGUUUUUUGCAUGCACUCGCCUCUCGUGGGCUUGGGCCUCUCAAAAAUUUCACUGGGCCAACAUCAAUUCUGGCAGCAGGAUAAAUCAUUAAGAAUGUAGCUACU